GUUCCCAUCGUCUAACGGUUAGGACAUCACCCUUUCACGGUGAGUAUAGGGGUUCGAAUCCCCUUGGGAACGCCA
rnacentral:tRNA from 1 species